GCGCACGUAGUCCAAUUGGCAGGAGACAUGAGGUUUAAGCCCUCAGAAGUGAUCGGUUCGAGUCCGUCCGUGCGUA
rnacentral:tRNA from 1 species